rnacentral:rRNA from 1 species
UACAGAGGGGGCAAGCGUUGUUCGGAAUUACUGGGCGUAAAGGGCGCGUAGGCGGCCCGCUAAGUCGAACGUGAAAUCCCUGGGCUCAACCCAGGAACUGCGUCCGAUACUGGAAGGCUUGAAUCCGGGAGAGGGAUGCGGAAUUCCAGGUGUAGCGGUGAAAUGCGUAGAUAUCUGGAGGAACACCGGUGGCGAAGGCGGCAUCCUGGACCGGUAUUGACGCUGAGGCGCGAAAGCUAGGGGAGCAAACGGG